UACGUAGGGGGCGAGCGUUGUCCGGAUUUAUUGGGCGUAAAGCGCUCGCAGGCGGUCCGAUGCGUCGUGCGUGAAAGCCCCCGGCUCAACUGGGGAGGGUCGUGCGAUACGGUCGGACUUGAGGCCAGUAGGGGGAUGCGGAAUUCCGGGUGUAGCGGUGAAAUGCGCAGAUAUCAGGAGGAACACCAAUUGCGAAGGCAGCUCGCUGGGACGUUACUGACGCUGAGACGCGAAAGCGUGGGGAGCAAACAGG
rnacentral:rRNA from 1 species